rnacentral:rRNA from 1 species
CCCUUAGAGUUUGAUCCUGGCUCAGAUUGAACGCUGGCGGCAGGCCUAACACAUGCAAGUCGAGCGGUAGAUACUUUCGGGUGAGUAGAGCGGCGGACGGGUGAGCAACGCGUAGGAAUUUGCCCAGUAGUGGGGGACAACAUGUGGAAACGCAUGCUAAUACCGCAUACGCCCUAAGGGGGAAAGCAGGGGAUCUUCGGACCUUGCGCUAUUUGAUGAGCCUGCGUUGGAUUAGCUAGUUGGUGAGGUAAAGGCUCACCAAGGCGACGAUCCAUAGCUGGUCUGAGAGGAUGAUCAGCCACACUGGGACUGAGACACGGCCCAGACUCCUACGGGAGGCAGCAGUGGGGAAUAUUGGACAAUGGGGGCAACCCUGAUCCAGCCAUGCCGCGUGUGUGAAGAAGGCUUUCGGGUUGUAAAGCACUUUCAGCGGGGAGGAAAGGUGUGCGAUUAAUACUCGUCAGCUGUGACGUUACUCGCAGAAUAAGCACCGGCUAACUCCGUGCCAGCAGCCGCGGUAAUACGGAGGGUGCAAGCGUUAAUCGGAAUUACUGGGCGUAAAGCGCGCGUAGGCGGCUAUUUAAGCUAGAUGUGAAAGCCCUGGGCUCAACCUGGGAACUGCAUUUAGAACUGAAUAGCUAGAGUAUGGUAGAGGAGUGUGGAAUUUCAGGUGUAGCGGUGAAAUGCGUAGAGAUCUGAAGGAACAUCAGUGGCGAAGGCGACACUCUGGACCAAUACUGACGCUGAGGUGCGAAAGCGUGGGUAGCAAACAGGAUUAGAUACCCUGGUAGUCCACGCCGUAAACGAUGUCUACUAGCCGUUGGGAUCCUUGAGGUCUUAGUGGCGCAGCUAACGCAAUAAGUAGACCGCCUGGGGAGUACGGUCGCAAGAUUAAAACUCAAAUGAAUUGACGGGGGCCCGCACAAGCGGUGGAGCAUGUGGUUUAAUUCGACGCAACGCGAAGAACCUUACCUACUCUUGACAUCCUGCGAACCUUUUGGAGACAGAAGGGUGCCUUCGGGAACGCAGUGACAGGUGCUGCAUGGCUGUCGUCAGCUCGUGUUGUGAAAUGUUGGGUUAAGUCCCGUAACGAGCGCAACCCUUGUCCUUAGUUGCCAGCACGUAAUGGUGGGAACUCUAAGGAGACUGCCGGUGACAAACCGGAGGAAGGUGGGGACGACGUCAAGUCAUCAUGGCCCUUACGUCCUGGGCUACACACGUGCUACAAUGGUCGGUACAGACGGCAGCGAACCCGCGAGGGGGAGCGAAUCCGAGAAAACCGAUCGUAGUCCGGAUUGGAGUCUGCAACUCGACUCCAUGAAGUCGGAAUCGCUAGUAAUCGCGAAUCAGAAUGUCGCGGUGAAUACGUUCCCGGGCCUUGUACACACCGCCCGUCACACCAUGGGAGUGGGCUGCAAAAGAAGUGGGUAGACUAACCUUCGGGAGGUCGCUCACCACUUUGUGAUUCAUGACUGGGGUGAAGUCGUAACAAGGUAACCAAGGG